UAUUAUUGUAAGACCCCCUUUCGGGGACCACCACUCUAGUCUCGGGAGUGAGAGAGUACCCAAAGAAACACAAGGACCU
rnacentral:pre_miRNA from 7 species